GUUGGUGAGGUAACGGCUCACCAAGACUAUGAUGCUUAGGGGGUCUGAGAGGAUAGUCCCCCACACUGGUACUGAGACACGGACCAGACUCCUACGGGAGGCAGCAGUGAGGAAUAUUGGUCAAUGGACGCAAGUCUGAACCAGCCAUGUCGCGUGCAGGAUGACGGCCCUAUGGGUUGUAAACUGCUUUUUUACAGGAAUAAUUGCAGGUACGUGUACCUGUUUGAAUGUACUGUAUGAAUAAGGAUCGGCUAACUCCGUGCCAGCAGCCGCGGUAAUACGGAGGAUUCGAGCGUUAUCCGGAUUUAUUGGGUUUAAAGGGUCCGUAGGCGGCUUUUUAAGUCAGUGGUGAAAUCCCAGAGCUCAACUCUGGAACUGCCAUUGAAACUGAAGAGCUUGAAUAUGGUUGAGGUAGGCGGAAUACGUUAUGUAGCGGUGAAAUGCAUAGAUAUAACGUAGAACACCAAUUGCGAAGGCAGCUUACUAAACCAUUAUUGACGCUGAUGGACGAAAGCGUGGGGAGCGAACAGGAUUAGAUACCCUGGUAGUCCACGCCGUAAACGAUGAUUACUCGUUGUGCACAAUACACCGUGCGUGACUGAGCGAAAGCAUUAAGUAAUCCACCUGGGGAGUACGUUCGCAAGAAUGAAACUCAAAGGAAUUGACGGGGGCCCGCACAAGCGGAGGAACAUGUGGUUUAAUUCGAUGAUACGCGAGGAACCUUACCUGGACUUAAAUGUAGAUUGACCGG
rnacentral:rRNA from 1 species